UUAAUUUAAUAAUUCAGCAUUUGUUUCGACGCUGCGACGUCUCCGUGUACCGGAUUCGGAGACGGGAGCACUUUCUGUCUGCACUUUCACAGACAAUGCAUGACGAUGGCGAUGAUGAUGAUGGCAUUUUUCGUGCUCCAAAAGGGGCGGACAGCAAACCGGAAGUGAAGACUACUACCAACUGAGUAGAUAGUAGCUACCUUUACCAACUGCUGUGCGACGGCAACAAAAUGAAAACUUUUCUCUAGCCACCACGAUGGCGUUCGGUUGGCGGCAAUUAAGUCAAAUUGAUAAUGACGACAAAAUGUCGGCUGGCAGGAGUUUCGAAAGCUAGGUAGGAACCUCCUCCAGAGAACAACAUCUAUUGCUUUUACUGCUCGGCUCCGGAUGACGUGAUUUCAUUUUGGGUAUGGGUGUGGGUGUGGACUAUGCAAAAUUGGCGACACAUUUCGACACGUCCGCCCUUUGGCAUAAUUAAAACGAAAUAAUUUUCGACAAG